GCAGUCGUGGCCGAGUGGUUAAGGAAUAGACUAGAAAUCUAUUGGGGUCUCCCGCACAGGUUCGAAUCCUGUCGACUGCG
rnacentral:tRNA from 1 species